AUUAAAGUGGCAGAAUAGUGCGUUAGGUUUAAGGUCUAAAUAUAGAUUUAAGUCUCUUUAAUA
rnacentral:tRNA from 1 species